AGGGAGGAAGGCAGUGUGCGUGGACCGGUAGGAAAAUGUUCCGAAAGCAACGUUACCCUACUGGCCGAUGGUCUACAUACCGAGAACACACUGAACCGCAACCCGCGAUGGAUGAUGGGAGUUGGAAGGACGCUACCGCGCAAAGGCGACACCGAGGUGUGUACAACACCACUGGUAACGAUCUGUAUGCUCUGCGUUGGAUGAAUGAUGCGAUCGACGCACUGCACCGCACUGUCAGACCGGGAUGGGCUAGUAGCGUGCACGUCGUUCGGACAACACCAACGGGGCACAUCACCACCAGUGGCGGCACGCUUUUUCGCAGCAGCAAAGUCCAACCAGCAACCAGCACCAGACCGGCACGAGACGUUUGCACCGCGCGCUCCCACCGAAAGCACGGAGAGCAGGGCGCAGUGCAGGCGUGUCGUCUCCCGAACCGAGGGCCGUACAUGAAUGUCAUACGGCUACCACGCUAUGAUGGAAGGAUAGCGACAGUAGCAAGUAUUAUGACCCCGAAAUUCAAAAUAAAAACCGAUGGGAAGCUUUUGCCGAGUUUACUGCUGCACAAUCACCACCACCACCACCGGUGGCGAGAGUGCGCUGCGAACCGAGCUACGAAACGACGAGACCCCGCAAGGGCUCGCUAGGUUAAACGUUCUGGUGACGUUGUGAGGCGAAUGUGACGACUGCGUCUGGUAGUCAGCAAGCAAACACACACACACCCGUAAGCGAGAUCGGCCGUUCGUUCUGCCGUCGCAUACACACGUUGUUGUUGUUGUUGUUCUAUCCACGACGAGA
rnacentral:misc_RNA from 1 species